rnacentral:rRNA from 1 species
GACGAACGCUGGCGGCGCGCCUAACACAUGCAAGUCGAACGAGCGAGAGAGAGCUUGCUUUCUCAAGCGAGUGGCGAACGGGUGAGUAACGCGUGAGGAACCUGCCUCAAAGAGGGGGACAACAGUUGGAAACGACUGCUAAUACCGCAUAAGCCCACAGGUCGGCAUCGACCAGAGGGAAAAGGAGCAAUCCGCUUUGAGAUGGCCUCGCGUCCGAUUAGCUAGUUGGUGAGGUAACGGCCCACCAAGGCAACGAUCGGUAGCCGGACUGAGAGGUUGAACGGCCACAUUGGGACUGGGACACGGCCCAGACUCCUACGGGAGGCAGCAGUGGGGAAUAUUGCACAAUGGGGGAAACCCUGAUGCAGCGACGCCGCGUGGAGGAAGAAGGUCUUCGGAUUGUAAACUCCUGUUGUUGAGGAAGAUAAUGACGGUACUCAACAAGGAAGUGACGGCUAACUACGUG